UACAGAGGUGGCAAGUGUUGUUCGGAUUUACUGGGCGUAAAGGGUCCGCAGGCGGUCCUGUGUGUCGGAUGUGAAAGCUCACGGCUCAACCGUGGAAUUGCAUUCGAAACUACAGGACUAGAGUACAGGAGGGGAGUAGGGAAUUCAGGGUGUAGCGGUGAAAUGCGUAGAUAUCCUGAAGAACACCGGUGGCGAAGGCGCUACUCUGGACUGAUACUGACGCUCAUGGACGAAAGCUGGGGGAGCGAAGAGG
rnacentral:rRNA from 1 species